rnacentral:siRNA from 1 species
CUGCACAUAAGUGCGCGUGGGUUCG